ensembl:lncRNA
AGGGCUGGCUGAUCGUGCACCACUCUUUGUGCAACUUCGAGACUUCUAGUGAGGAACAGAUUGGAUGAUGCUACUGUGUCUGUGACAAGACAGAUCCUAGCUGAAGAAAGCAGUUGCAUUUGCCAUCAAGCUGCCCUUUGAAACGCUGUGAGAAGCUGGAAGGUUUCUAACUGGCUUGAGAGAGUUGGCCAUGGUAUGGAAAGAGUCAACAGCUCUACAGAUGGAGGAAGAGGCAGUUCCUGUCUGCAACUGCUUCUUGUCCAAAUUGCCUUGAAAGGUAUAGAAGGAAGAUGAAGACAUAAACCGUAGUACAGCACUGAUCUAUCUGAUAUUCUGCAAAGCCCCCAAUUGCCCCCCUGAGAGAACUCCUCCCUGUCUCACUCCGUAGAUGGUGUCAUCCACCAUAACAGAAUUAAGAUGUUCUCCUUCCAAACUGAUACCCUCUGUGACAAGUGGGAGGUGGUUGCAAGGAUGGUAUCUGUGUUACAUUCGGACCUCUCUUUGCAAGAUCGCUCCAGAGCUUUCCCUGCUAAAUUCAGGAGCCUCUUCCAAGACUUGGAGGAGGUGGGUGUGAGGUUGAAAAUCCUCGACGUGACAAGAGCCUUUGUUCUUACGCCUCAUAUAAACUGGCACAUCUUCAACUGGGGAGGGGAUUUUUGUAUUUUCCUUUCAAAAUUUUCUUAUUUCUUAAAAGAGAGAGUAAAUUCUUCUGUAGCCCAUUUCCAUUUCUGGAAGGCUAGAGCUAGGCAAAAGGGUGGAAGUUCAGAGAUUUACCAAUAUACUGAGGGGCUUCCAAGCUGAAUGAAUUCUUUUUCUCAUCUUGCAUCUUAAUUGGCAAGAAAAGAAAUCAUGCUUUGUUAAAACAGACAUUCGGAAAGAUGCGGAGUUGUACAAAAGCACGGCCAUCCAUCCCUUCCUUCUCUGCUGUAGCCAUCCCUAUCCAAAACAUCUGUAAGAACAUACAGAGAAAUGGUCCUUCAGUAUCAUCUGUGUAUCUGCUCUCUCUGCCCUACAGGAAUAGAAGAUAAUUAUACUU